rnacentral:lncRNA from 14 species
GAAUAAACUUUAGAAAAUGUUAGCAAAGUGGGCAUUAACCUUUCCUAUUGUGUUUGUUUUAUUUUCUCAUAAUAGUCAUUAGCAAAGAUUGCACUUUGGCAAGAAUUGUUCUUGUUGUGGGUCUCAUCUGUGUGCUGAAGUCUGUCUGCAGCCUCUGCUCAUGCUAUUGUUAGUUGAUUUAUCAGCAUUAAGGCCACUUCAUUGCCUCCCCAAAUACUUCAGCUAAAAGGCUAUUGAAGCUGAGAAAGAUAAGAGUGAUCUCAAGAAGAAAGGACUGAAUGAAGAGCCAAGGGGCAUCGCUUCAUUUUUCCAGCCCUGAUAUGGUUUUCUUCAACUGUCUCAGGACAAAGUGGGCCAAAAUGCUGCUUCCUAUUUGGUCACCAAAUCAAUCUCAUUGCUAAGGUUUUGAUCAGUCUCAUUUCUCAGUCACCAAAUGUAGAGUAAGUAAAAUAUCUUCUGCUUGUUAUACUGUUUUUU